AUGAAAUCUGAAACACUCCUGAGAGGCAUGAGGAUUAGUGUUUAGUAUUGGCCUAAACUUUGACCUGAGAUGUGAAGUACUAAUCUCUAAUUAAAAUGUAUUUUAAAAUGUAUUCUCUUUUCACCAAUUCGUUUUAAAAUCCAAUUUUUGGCCUAUUUUGUAGACAAAAUGGAUCACAUUUAUUUGUAUCUUCAUUAUAAUUCUGUUUCUCCUUGCUAAUUUUCAACUUGCCCUCUGCAUAUGUAUUUAUAAAUCGCAUCCAUCAACUCGAAAUAAUAGUGUGUAUGCUGCUUGGAGUGGGCGGUGUGUUUAGAUGGAGAGCUAACAAGUGCCCUGUCAUCCUCUGCAAUGCCACCAAACAACUGUCAAAAUAACAGUAUUGCUCAGCCUGGGACGUCCAAAGGCAAGUUCUUGUUUUGUGAAAGGGGAACUACAACAAAAAGAAAACAAGCUAUGGCGUUCACCUGUUCCAAGCUGCGCCCAUCCUGUUUAUUAUUUGCAGAGUGCUCGUGUUAUUUCAGCCAUGUUGUCCUUUUGAAUGUGCUGCUGCAGUGAUGCUGUGGCCAUCAAAAUCCUUGCCAUUGCUUCGGGACUGAUAAUGUCCCAGGAAUGGGCUUCCUGGCUGUUGCUGGUGACAUAUAUCUAGGAGAUGAAGAGCCUCCUGAUUAGCGAUUUCCUUUUCUUCUGUUGACCAGUGAUGAACUCCCACUCAUCCAUCAAGCCCCAGAAUGUUUGCUGCAUGAAGACAGAGGUCUUAGUCUUGUUCCCAGAUGUAUCUUCAGUGCCCAGAACAGUGCUUGGCAAAAGCACUCAACAAACCGCUGAGUGAGCGACCAAUAUUAUUAAUUCUACCUUCAUUUGCUGAGUGGUCUUGGGCAAGUCUUUUAUAUUCUCUGAGCCUCCAAAUUUCCUUUUAGAAAAUGAGGAUAAACGGAUAAUCUCUGAUAGCAUUGCAGUGAGAAUCGAUGAGAUAAGCAGGCAAAGUGACAAGUGUAAGACCUAACCCAUGAAAAGCUCUGGAUAAAUUUUGGUUUCUUUUCACCUCCAGGGGCCAUAUUAGCCCUCUGACUUUUAAUGCAAUUCUCAAGCAAAUCUGAAUUUAAAAAAAUAGAGCAACUGCAUAGUUUGAAUACAUUCUGUAACUUUUCUGUUUCUCUCCCAGUGUGCGGAACAAUACUGAAAUUUUCCCCUUGCAAUAGUUGGAAAACUGUGUAAGUGGAGGCUCUUUGACUCGGGGUGGGAGUGAAGCUGAGUACAGCCACUGGCCAAGCCUUUCAAACAGUGUAACAAAUGAUGUGUGGGCACAACUGGGGAAAAUGCACACAUUCUUCAUUGGUCUGGUGAAAUCAUGUUUGGCCCCCAGGUGCACUUUACCUGUUAACAGCAUUUAGACAGAUUUAUCAGCUGUAAAUUUUGCACCAUGAAAAAAAAAAGGAACAUUUUUUUCCCUCUUUCUAAAGAUAAAGCAGAAAGAUUUGUCAGCAACAGAGCGAAUCAAACAAAUUAAGUGCAGGGCUUCAUUCUCUCUGCCCCUCAAUGGCCUGGUUGUGACACAUGGACUCUAGGCAUCAAAUUCACAGAAACCUGGGGAGUUACUGGGGGAGAAAGCGUGGUGGGUAUGGGAUGAGUACUUUAGCUGGGGCUGAUGAGCUCUCGUUUAAGAGCCAGAACUGAGUAAAACAGGGACAGUGCAUCCUUAAUUAACACCAUAAGAAAGAGGGAAAAAAAGAAAGAAAGCACAUACCAAAAAAUUAAAAAGAAAAAGAAAGAGGCAUACAAAACUUUCCAGAACUUUUUGUGGUUUUCUUCUCUAUGUAUUUUCAUGAGAUCGUCUGCUUGGAAAUGUAUUGUUUGAAAAACUAGAUGGAAUUAGUUUUAAAAUGCCCCAGAUCAAACUGAUUGCAAUGGGUUAGAAUAUUAUAAGCCGGAUGUUAUGAAACAUCUUUUGUGACAUGGUUGGGGGGCGGGGAAGAGAACGGGAUUAGAUUCAAGUGAGUCCACACUCCACAGUCAACUGGCUGUGUGACUCUGGCUAAAUCUCUAACUCUCUAGAUAGCAGUUUCUUCACGUGUAGUAUUCAGAUUACAAAGCCCAAUUUGGGAGACUGUUGUGUGAAUUUCACGAGCUAAUGUGUUUGUGAAAUUGUGUUAUUAAUUUUAAAGUGUAAUGGUGCCAUUCAUAAUUUUUCUGGAGGAUUAUAAAGAAUUCAAACAAAGUUUUCAUAUUUGUCCUUGGAUAGGAGGUAAAGACUCAU